GCCAGUCAGCAGCCGCGGUAAUACUGAGGGUGCAAGCGUUAAUCGGAAUUACUGGGCGUAAAGCGCGCGUAGGCGGUCUGGUCAGUCAGAUGUGAAAGCCCCGGGCUUAACCUGGGAACUGCAUUUGAAACUGCCAGACUAGAGUGUGGUAGAGGGAAGUGGAAUUCCGCGUGGAGCGGUGAAAUGCGUAGAGAUGCGGAGGAACACCAGUGGCGAAGGCGACUUCCUGGACCAACACUGACGCUCAGGUGCGAAAGCGUGGGGAGCAAACAGGAUUAGAUACCCUGGUAGUCCACGCCGUAAACGAUGUCUACUAGCCGUUGGGGGGCUUGUCUCCUUAGUGGCGUAGCUAACGCGAUAAGUAGACCGCCUGGGGAGUACGGUCGCAAGACUAAAACUCAAGGAAUUGGCGGGGGAGCACGGUCUG
rnacentral:rRNA from 1 species